rnacentral:rRNA from 1 species
UAGGGAAUCUUCGGCAAUGGGGGCAACCCUGACCGAGCAACGCCGCGUGAGUGAAGAAGGUUUUCGGAUCGUAAAGCUCUGUUGUAAGAGAAGAACGUGUGUGAGAGUGGAAAGUUCACACAGUGACGGUAACUUACCAGAAAGGGACGGCUAACUACGUGCCAGCAGCCGCGGUAAUACGUAGGUCCCGAGCGUUGUCCGGAUCUAUUGGUCGUAAAGCGAGGGCAGGCGGUUUAAUAAGUCUGAAGUUAAAGGCAGUGGCUUAACCAUUGUUCGCUUUGGAAACUGUUAAACUUGAGUGCAGAAGGGGAGAGUGGAAUUCCAUGUGUAGCGGUGAAAUGCGUAGAUAUAUGGAGGAACACCGGUGGCGAAAGCGGCUCUCUGGUCUGUAACUGACGCUGAGGCUCGAAAGCGUGGGGAGCAAACAGG